AGUCCUUGACCCACCACCCCACAGAAAAACUUCUUGACAUCUGAGUCAGAUGUAACCAGUUUGUAACUUUGAGAGAAAAGACCUCCAGCUGGUUUGGGAGAAGCUGUAAACUGGAAUGAAAUACCUUCAAAUAGGAAUGUUUCUUGGGCGUCGGUUGCACCUACAUCCAAACUCAUGCACUCACUGCCUUCAACACCACACCUUGGAAAGAGUUUGUUAAACUUAUUGCAAAUAAAGGGACAAACUUUUCAGGAGGUAGCAUUUUUUUUUCAUUGCACAAACGGUUGGUUUUGGGGUUUGGCUUUUCGGGCUUGUUUUUUCUCUUUUAUUUCUGCACAGAAAAUGUUGAAUCUCCCUGCUCCUCUCCAGCCCUACUGACCACAGCAAAGCAGACACUGGCAAUGUGAGAGCAGGGAUGUGCAAUGACGAAAGUUCGGAGAUGACUGCUCUGGGCUCUGUGAAGGUGGGUGUCACUCACCGGUGCACCCCCAGCAGCUAGCACAGGGCCUGACACAUAACAGAUUCCCAGUGAACACAUGUUGACUGAAGAGUGUCCCUCCUACAGUGACAACACUCAGCACCAAGAGAAAGAAAGCUCCAAUGUCCCAUAUAUAAGUUCAGGUUCCCGAUAUUUUCAUAUCUGUGAAGACUUCCUUGCUUACAUCUUCUCUAACUCCGAAUCUGAGACCAGCUGUUUUCAUCAAUGCUCAGAGGUCGUCCACUCCCAGCAGAGAAUAAUUUUCAACUGAGCAAGAGGCAGCGGCAGCCACUGGAGCAGCCUGUGGUUUCUCAGACUCGUUUGCACUGACCUGCCACAGUGGACUGGUGGUGCAAGGUGAUGCUCAGGGACAUAUGAAGUCACUUGUGGAAAGUCUGCACCCCCAGUUCCUCUCUCUUUCUGUCUCUGCUCACCUCCCACUCGAACGAACUUGAGUUCCUCCUUUCGCUGCAGCUGCGAAGGCUCCUGGAGGAUUGGGGGAGGGAGCUGCCCUGAGCAGGGAAGACAGGACAACAGGACUUCUAUCAGAGUGAAGGGGACCGACAAUUGGAGAACGUGGUCCUUCUUCCUUCUCUGACAAAGGGGUGUGAAAGUGGAAUGUCACCAAACAAAUUCUUGCUAAAUUAAACACAUUAAAAUCACCUUCUAAUGUGGGUGAAAAGAUGCAACUAGCCAACCACAUGGGUGUGGAUUUCCCACAGAGCCCUUGAAAGCACUGCUUCAGACACAGGCUCAUACCUCACAAAGGUGCGGCCCUCCACAGGGUGGCCUCAGGGGUCAGCCGCCCUGUGGAAUCAUUCCUGGAGCUAACAGCAACCCACAGACCAGGCUCCUGCUGG
rnacentral:lncRNA from 1 species